CGGACCCCUCCCAACCCAGCAGGACAUGGUGAACUCGCACCGGGGCCUGGCCUUCCUGAAAGCAGCAAAGGAGUUCCACUAGCGUUACAUCACCACUGCCAGCCAGACAUCAACCGCAUAACAUUCGUUCUUGUUCUUCUCCUGUGAGCAUUUCUAUGUCAUCUACUGCAAGUUCUGGGAGCUCGACCUGGACGGCGACCUCGCCAUAGACUGGCACACCAAGGGGGAGGUGGUUGUGGCCUGACGUGUGGAGUGGGCGUGGCCUCCGCCUCAAUGGGCGUGGUCUCCAUCACCCUGACCCCGCCCUGCCCUUGCAGCCAUCUCUUCCUGGAUGAUAGACUGCGUCUUCUCUCUCCGGUGCUGUCACCCAGUGAGCAGCCUGGGAGGUCGGAUCACGCUUUGUGGCCUGAAGCGCUUGAGCCUGGCAGGUGCCUGGAGGGGUUCUUCCCUCAAGUCUGAGAUGACAGCAGCACAGCAAAGAUAAGAGGCUACAUAAAAUAAGG
rnacentral:lncRNA from 1 species